AAACUGUGUUGUGGGCAUGAACUGACAAGAUCCUUGAACCUUUCCCAAUAUUGAAAGAAUGUUUCAUCCUCCUUUUAGGUGAAGUUCAUGAUUGACUUUCUAAGGGU